rnacentral:rRNA from 1 species
ACGAACGCUGGCGGCGUGCUUAACACAUGCAAGUCGAACGGAAAGGCCCUGCUUUUGUGGGGUGCUCGAGUGGCGAACGGGUGAGUAACACGUGAGUAACCUGCCCUUGACUUUGGGAUAACUUCAGGAAACUGGGGCUAAUACCGGAUAGGAGCUCCUGCUGCAUGGUGGGGGUUGGAAAGUUUCGGCGGUUGGGGAUGGACUCGCGGCUUAUCAGCUUGUUGGUGGGGUAGUGGCUUACCAAGGCUUUGACGGGUAGCCGGCCUGAGAGGGUGACCGGCCACAUUGGGACUGAGAUACGGCCCAGACUCCUACGGGAGGCAGCAGUGGGGAAUAUUGCACAAUGGGCGGAAGCCUGAUGCAGCAACGCCGCGUGCGGGAUGACGGCCUUCUGGUUGUAAACCGCUUUCGCCUGUGACGAAGCGUGAGUGACGGUAAUGGGUAAAGAAGCACCGGCUAACUACGUG